rnacentral:lncRNA from 1 species
GCAAAAGUUAAAUGCCAUACCGGAAUGGAAACGACAGUGUCUUACUCAAACAUUGCUCCUGGAGAAUGUAGCUCUUCUGGUGACAAACGAUUUACAAUAAUAUAUAUCAGCGUUCCUGGUGAGAGUAAACCCAGAAAAGCGCUAUAUAUGCAACAUAUUUAUGAAGUAUUAUUUUUAACUUUUGUCAGCAGAUGAGUUUCAUACUCAAAAACAUGAAAGUUGAGGAUGCAUAACUAACUAGUAUAUAAUCACCCGAGAACCCCUACGACCAAUAGAGCAUACUAGAAUAGCCUACUCUUCAAAUGUCAACUUGCCUAAAUAAAUUGGAAACUUAAUUUUAAUUCAUUUAUCAAUUCAUCAACGGUUAAUAUAUUUACAAAUGUAUGACAUAAAUCAUGUCUGUACCGAAGCAUCACUACUAAGCUAAUGAUACCAUCGGAGACUUACAGUCCAUUAAUAUCGGUAUAGAACCAAUGUUAAAAUCAUUGAAAUAACACUUUGAUUUUGUGUUUCUUACGCAGUGCUUUUCUGUAUUUACCUUCACCGGAACGUUCGAUGCCAAAUCGUAUAUGAAUACGUAAAACAUUAGAAGCUGUGUCGUCGAAUAGUACAGAAAAAGAAUAGAAAAUCCGGUAACGGUCAAUUAUUGUUAAAGGAAUUCCAACCUGGGUUUCUUAGUAAUUUCAAAAUUAUAUUAUAUCUAUAUUGAUGAAACAUGAUUGAACGUGAAGAUUACAGCUUUUCCUUUAUAAACAUCCCAUAUAUGCCUUAUAUUUUAGAUAUCAGCAUAUAGUACGUAGUUAUAGGAGUGUGCAUUACCAUUUUGUCUUUAUUUACUCAAUAACUUUAACCAGUACUGUUGAAUCUCAUUCGUUGAUUUUAACAUGUUUGACAGACAGGAACAUAUUUCAAAGACAACAUUUUUGGAAAAAAAUUGUACAAUUAUUUGGAAUGCAUUUGAAUACUGAGUAUAACCUGGUCGAUUAAAUUUUGAAUCCAUUGAACAUAGUUAGACCAUUAUGUGCACCAGUUGCAUAUGUGCAUGAAUGUUUUACUUCGAUCCAAGCUUCACUUCCAUUUUUCAUUCAGCGACAACACUUUUUGUUGCAGCAAAAGAACUGGUUGAUUUUUUUAGAUCAAGAUAACCUCGCAUUACCGGCUGUGAAUCAAUCAUAAAAAUAGUGUGGCACACUUUCCGUGCUCGUGUUGUUAUGGUCCAUGUAAAGCUGUAAAAUCCAUCAAUUGGACACGUGAACUUUCCUGUUGCUGGAUUGUAUCCACUACCGCUAUUAAGGUGGUAUGGGAGUCUAAAAUAAAAAUGAUAGAAUUUGUUCAUACUUUGCCAAAACGUUGUAUCUAUUGAUACUGUUUGAAAAAUAUAAUAAAAAUGAUAGGUCACCGCGCAUUUUCUCAAGCUACAGGACGGGACAAAAUGAUGUAUGGAUUAUACAGGAAAAAACACCAUUUUGUGAUUAGAAACUAAACAAAAUGAUAGAAUUGUUAAAUACUUCAGGAAAAGAUAGCUUUCAGACACUGCUUGAGAAUAUCAAAAGAAAGAUAGGGUCACCGUCGUUUUUCGGUAAAAUACAAAAUAGGAAAAUUCCAUACAGAAUCCUUAAAAAAAUGCACUUUUUUAGAGUUACCUCCCCUUAAAAUGUCAAUUUUAAAAAAAAAAUAAAAACAACCAAAAAUAAUUAACAUUUGCAAAAAUAUAUUUAUUUAGAAGUUAUAUUCUUAUAAAUUGGUACUUUUAAAUGAAAUGUACAUUAAACAUCUGCAUUCUGCAUCAAUUUUGCUAAUUGAUGGAAAACCUGAAUGAUUCUCUGUUUUUUACAAUCCAAGAUGGAGGAAGACACCCAUACCACCUUAAGAACAACAUCAUCAAACUUAAUCGUAGCACUGGUCGGGUACAAAGCAUGGUCCACUGAAAGGUGUGCUUGAAAUGCCACUGGUUCAGGAUUAGCUAUG